CUCUGUGGGAUCAGUGGCGAACGGGUGAGUAACACGUGAGCAACCUGCCCCUGACUCUGGGAUAAGCGCUGGAAACGGCGUCUAAUACUGGAUACGAGUAGCGACCGCAUGGUCAGUUACUGGAAAGAUUUAUUGGUUGGGGAUGGGCUCGCGGCCUAUCAGCUUGUUGGUGAGGUAAUGGCUCACCAAGGCGUCGACGGGUAGCCGGCCUGAGAGGGUGACCGGCCACACUGGGACUGAGACACGGCCCAGACUCCUACGGGAGGCAGCAGUGGGGAAUAUUGCACAAUGGGCGCAAGCCUGAUGCAGCAACGCCGCGUGAGGGAUGACGGCCUUCGGGUUGUAAACCUCUUUUAGCAGGGAAGAAGCGAAAGUGACGGUACCUGCAGAAAAAGCGCCGGCUAACUACGUGCCAGCAGCCGCGGUAAUACGUAGGGCGCAAGCGUUAUCCGGAAUUAUUGGGCGUAAAGAGCUCGUAGGCGGUUUGUCGCGUCUGCUGUGAAAUCCGGAGGCUCAACCUCCGGCCUGCAGUGGGUACGGGCAGACUAGAGUGCGGUAGGGGAGAUUGGAAUUCCUGGUGUAGCGGUGGAAUGCGCAGAUAUCAGGAGGAACACCGAUGGCGAAGGCAGAUCUCUGGGCCGUAACUGACGC
rnacentral:rRNA from 1 species